AAAAAGUGCGGGAUUUUCUUUUGGAAUGAGUGAAUCAUUCUAGACACGAGCUAAAAUGCAUAUAUUAAUCGCUUCUCUAAUUUGGAAAAGGAGAUUAACGUAAUUAACAAAACACAUGGAUCUUAAAAGACAGCAAAAAAAUAAAAUAAAAUAAAUAAAAAUUAAAGAACAAAAGAACAUAUAAAAAUGAAAUUAAGAAGAAUAUAAGACAAGAGAAACAAUAUAAGAUCACUUUCUUUCGUUCAAGUAUUCACCAAACCUUCAAGUGUAUACAAUAUGAACUCUUAUGUCUCUAUUUAUAGUGUAACAUAGAGGAAUACAAAAGGUUAAUAAUAAAUAUAAUAUUAACAUGAAUAUAAUUAGGAGGUUAUGAAAGUGAAAGGUUACAACAAUAAUGGUUAUAAAGGUGGAGGUUAUGGAGGUUAUGGUCAUUUUCAUAAGGAAAGUAGUGGAGAUAAUGAGUAACUUCUUGGUGCACUAGACAUCCACACUAUAAUAUUUUAUAACAAGGAAGUCAUAUAGAACUAGAUGACAAACAUUAUAGACUACAUUUGAGAAUAUAUGUACAAAAGAAAACUAAAUGUCAUCGACAUUCAACUUUGAAAUUCUAAAAAAUAUACUUAAAGGAACAAUAUAAUGAAUAUGCACUAACUAAAUACAAAUUAAAAAUAUAUAACCAGUAUACAGACGGAACAAUAAUUUUUGAUAAGAAACUUAAAAUUUGUAGAACUAGACAUAUAAUAUAGCCAAAGGAGGUUCGACAUCUAUUAUAUAUACAUAUAAAAUUAAUUUAAUUAUGUAUAAAUAAUAUAAUUUUUCGCCGAAAAGAAUUUGUAUGAACCCUUUCACAUAAGGUGGCUCCGCCCUGCGGGCGUACUGAUCCCAUGCUAAAUUAGCUUUAGAAAACUAUUUACGCAUAUUUCAAAUUUAUAACACAAUUUUCUAAAUAAAUGAUUGAGAAGAGUGAGGAAGGCAUGUGCUUGGCAUAUAUUUGGAACGUAGAAACCUUAUGUGGUGCCAACGUGGCUGCUUGGGUGGUGCUUACGUGGAAGAGGAAUGUAAGAAUGAGCUUCUUUAUGGACCACUGGUGGGUUAGAUUCUAGCUUCGAUUGAAUUUUUUGGUUCUUUUUUUUUCUUUUAACUUUUUGGCCUUCUAACUUAAUAACCAAUAUUAUAUAUAAUAUACUAUACUUAAAUCCCAUAAUGUAAAAUUUUAAAUUACCUUUUAUUUUUAUUUUUUUCUAUUUUAUAAAAAUUCCUUAUAAUUAUUACUGUUCGGAUUCAUAAAUUUCAUCCUGAUACAUUAUAUAUGAUACAUUAUAAAUUUUUCUGUACAUUUAAUAUGGAAUAUUAAUGUAAAAUUGAUUUUCUUUUCAUUUGAUUUUCUUUUCCCAUAAAUCAUGCAAAAUUGAUUGAUAUUAAUAUAUUCCAAAUCUGUAACAACUUCACAAUAUUCAAAAAAUAAUUUUCAUAUUCUCCAUGAGUUCAAAUUCUUGAAUAUGAUCAAAUCCGUCAUUGUAGAUAAUUAGACAAACGAUCUCGAAUCGUCAAUCCGAGAUCGUCAAGUAUAAGAAAUUGUUGAGAAAUAUGGUUUCAAUGUAUCACGCAAAAUUGAUUGGACAAAUAAUUUUUUUGGUGAAUCUCAAAUCCGCCAUUGUGGAUAAGAUAACGAAAAGUUUCAUGAAAAUAGAUCUAAUCAACAAAACGAUCUAUUAAUCGUAAAGAAUUUGAGAUCGAAGAAGUCAAAAAAAGGAUUAUACUCGAGUUUGAAGUCUACUAUUGAAAAAUUUGGAUCUGUCUUAACACAAUCUUCACUGUCAAAAAAUGCAUAUCUAUAAUGUAUCUCGUUUAUUUUUAUUCUUAAAUUAGUCUUUGUUAGUGUUAUUACUAAUCUGAUACAUUACUACUAUAAUGUCUUCAUUUUAUGCAAUGUAUCAUCUCCUAAUCUUUCAGCCUAACCACCCAAGAUAAAUGAAUUUCGAUUUAUUUCUA